UUUCCUUCUACAAAUCGUGAGCCACUGCCCCCAUCAUUCCUUCCUUCCAUCACCCAGGCACGCCUUGUCCUACCCGAUGACCGGCGCGUCAUUCUCUCCGUCGAACAACAGCAGACGCGUGCGUCUUGGUUCAUGGCAGUAGCGGGCGACGUUUCGUGGCAGUUUGACGAUGUUUUAGGGUGUUUUGUGGCAGCACAGGGUCAUAGCAGCAGCGUUCGGUGUUUGUGGAGGCCGCCCCCCUCGGGUACAGUUUCCACACGCGGCACAACUGCAUCGAUAGCAGUAGGUGUGUUCUAUUUGUUGCGAAAACGCUUGCAACAACUUUCUUUGAAGCAUUUAGCACCUACCCAUGACCGUUUGAAAUCCAAUUGAGGCAACCCACACCCAUUCGAACUUAAUCCAAGUUACCCACACCUAAACGAGGUCGUUUCCGCGGUGUUGAGUCGACGCGAAGUUAGGAGCAUAGCAGUGUGUAAGUAGUACCAGGGGCGGGUGUGUGUGUUGAAUGUGUGCUGAUAGAAAUUGUUUUUGUUGUUUUCUUUGUUAUAAGUGUGUUUCUCUUGCUAUUUUGAUUGUUGGCCACAGUUGUGAAGACGAUACUGCCAUGGAAUCUUGCCAUUUGUUUUUUUUUUGGUUGUUUAUUUGAGAUAUGUAUAUGACUGGUAUCCAUGACUGUUGUUUGUAACCAAGGGAAUUUACUGAUUUGUAUGGUUGGAA